CCUACGGGUGGCAGCAGUGGGGAAUAUUCCACAAUGGGGGAAACCCUGAUGCAGCGACGCCGCGUGAGUGAAGAAGUAUUUCGGUAUGUAAAGCUCUAUCAUCAGGGAAGAGCAUGACGUUAACUGAGUAAGAGGCCCCGGCUAACUACUUGCCAGCAGCCGCGGUAAUACGUAGGGGGCAAGCGUUAGCCGGAUUUACUGGGUGUAAAGGGAGCGUAGACGGCUCGGAAAGUCUGAAGUGAAAGCCCGCGGCUCAACCGCGGAACGGCUUUGGAAACUUUUUUGCUGGAGUGCAGGAGAGGAGAGCGGAAUUCCUAGUGUAGCGGUGAAAUGCGUAGAUAUUAGGAGGAACACCAGUGGCGAAGGCGACUUACUGGACGGUAACUGACGUUGAGGCUCGAAAGCGUGGGGAGCAAACAGGAUUAGAUACCCUUGUAGUC
rnacentral:rRNA from 1 species